UUUAGAUUUUGUUGAAGGCAACAAUGUCACAACUCUGAACAUACUCGUUUAUGGGUUCAACUGUGAGAUGCUCUUCUAUAACGGAAUCCACAGAGACAAGGUCAUCCACAAUGGUCAUCAUGAUCUGCAAUUUCUUUAUCCCAUAACCAACUGGAGCCAAUUUUGCUGCAACAAAUCCAUAGCACAACUAUUAACCAAGCAUUCAGUUGUCAAGGUCAGCAUAAGAAUAUAAGAAUGGUCAAUUUCGGUUUGAAGGGGGGAAAAAGGGUGUUUAAAUUAAUAAUCAAACCAUACAUGCUCCCCACAAGAGGCCUGGCAUCUCAAUACUGCGAACAGCCUCUUCCAGCUUCUUCAUGUCUGUCUCAUCAUCCCAAGGUUUCACAUCCAAAAGAACAGACGAUUUUCCACCUAAUAGAUACAAUUAGAAAAUAAAAUGGUCAAAUGCUAUAAGAAUCCAGAAACUAUUGAAAACAACCAAACAUGCCAUAAUUUACCAAGGACAUUAUCAGUUUCAGACAGGAAGAUGAAUAUGACGAGAAAAUUUGUUUAAAAUGAAAAACACUUUUUUCUUUUUGAGUAGGCUUAAAAUGCGAAACUUAAUUCGUGAUAACAAUGGGCAAAUUAAAGCAAGCUAUAUAUCUAUAUAACCCUCCCAUAUCUCCUCACUCCAAUCCCUUGCCACUUGAGCCAAGCCUUAGGGAUAAUAUUAGAUACCAUAGAAGAGCAAAACAUGAAUCAAAAACAGUCAUUUUAUUUUUAUAGUAUCUUAGGCAAGCAUUUUUAUGUUUGUUAAUCAUAAAUCUAAUGAUAGAGAAAGCUUACUCUCUUUCUUCUUUGAGGAUGCCUUAACAGAUGCCUCCCUCUCUUCUGCUGCCUUCUUCUCCUCCUCUGUCUCAUCACCAAAGAGAUCAAGGUCAUCGUC
rnacentral:lncRNA from 1 species